GUGGGGAAUUUUGGACAAUGGGCGCAAGCCUGAUCCAGCAAUGCCGCGUGCAGGAAGAAGGCCUUCGGGUUGUAAACUGCUUUUGUACGGAACGAAACGGUCCUGGCUAAUAUCCGGGGCUAAUGACGGUACCGUAAGAAUAAGCACCGGCUAACUACGUGCCAGCAGCCGCGGUAAUACGUAGGGUGCGAGCGUUAAUCGGAAUUACUGGGCGUAAAGCGUGCGCAGGCGGUGCUGUAAGACAGGCGUGAAAUCCCCGGGCUCAACCUGGGAAUUGCGCUUGGGACUGCAGUGCUGGAGUGCGGCAGAGGGGGAUGGAAUUCCGCGUGUAGCAGUGAAAUGCGUAGAUAUGCGGAGGAACACCGAUGGCGAAGGCAAUCCCCUGGGCCUGCACUGACGCUCAUGCACGAAAGCGUGGGGAGCAAACAGGAUUAGAUACCCUAGUAGUCC
rnacentral:rRNA from 1 species